UACGUAGGGGGCUAGCGUUGUCCGGAAUCAUUGGGCGUAAAGCGUGCGCAGGCGGUCUGUUAAGACCGAUGUGAAAUCCCCGGGCUUAACCUGGGAACUGCAUUGGUGACUGGCAGGCUUUGAGUGUGGCAGAGGGAGGUAGAAUUCCACGUGUAGCAGUGAAAUGCGUAGAGAUGUGGAGGAAUACCGAUGGCGAAGGCAGCCUCCUGGGCCAACACUGACGCUCAUGCACGAAAGCGUGGGGAGCAAACAGG
rnacentral:rRNA from 1 species